UUGAAAUCUGGCCCCUUCGGGGUCCGAGUUGUAAUUUGCAGAGGGUGCUUUUGGUGUUGGCCGUGGUCUAAGUUCCUUGGAACAGGACGUCACAGAGGGUGAGAAUCCCGUACGUGGCCGCCGGCCCUCGCCUUGUAAAGCCCCUUCGACGAGUCGAGUUGUUUGGGAAUGCAGCUCUAAAUGGGAGGUAAAUUUCUUCUAAAGCUAAAUACCCGCCAGAGACCGAUAGCGCACAAGUAGAGUGAUCGAAAGAUGAAAAGCACUUUGGAAAGAGAGUGAAAAAGCACGUGAAAUUGUUGAAAGGGAAGCGCUUGCGGCCAGACGUGCCCGCGGUUGUUCAUCUGGGCUCUCGCCCGGUGCACUCCUCCGCGGGCAGGCCAGCAUCAGUUUGGGCGGUCGGACAAAGGUCUCUAUCACGUACCACCCCUCGGGGUGGCCUUAUAGGGGAGACGCAACACGGCCAGCCUGGACUGAGGUUCCGCGCAUCUGCUAGGAUGCUGGCGUAAUGGCAGCAAGCGGCCCGUCUUGAAACACGGACCAAGGAGUCUAACAUCUAUGCGAGUGUUUGGGUGUCAAGCCCGAGCGCGUAAUGAAAGUGAACGGAGGUGGGAACCCCUCGGGGCGCACCAUCGACCGAUCCUGAUGUCUUCGGAUGGAUUUGAGUAAGAGCAUAGCUGUUGGGACCCGAAAGAUGGUGAACUAUGCCUGAAUAGGGUGAAGCCAGAGGAAACUCUGGUGGAGGCUCGCAGCGGUUCUGACGUGCAAAUCGAUCGUCAAAUUUGGGCAUAGGGGCGAAAGACUAAUCGAA
rnacentral:rRNA from 1 species